UACGGAGGAUCCAAGCGUUAUCCGGAAUCAUUGGGUUUAAAGGGUCCGUAGGCGGCCGCGUAAGUCAGUGGUGAAAUCUCCCGGCUCAACCGGGAAAUGGCCAUUGAUACUGCGUGGCUUGAAUUACCAGGAAGUAACUAGAAUAUGUAGUGUAGCGGUGAAAUGCUUAGAUAUUACAUGGAAUACCAAUUGCGAAGGCAGGUUACUACUGGUAUAUUGACGCUGAUGGACGAAAGCGUGGGUAGCGAACAGG
rnacentral:rRNA from 1 species